CGGACAUCCAUUCUUAAGUAAAAUAACUGAUUUUAUUUUAUAAGCUUUACAUUCUGUAUGCAGCAUGAGACAGUAAACAAAUCUCUCCCACAACCAGCAAGAAAGUAAAGGAUGAAAAACAAAAGCCACAAAUUGAAUCACACAGUUUUAACACAACACUCUCUUCCGCUGUUGUUGCUGCUGCUUCGCUUUCAUAUAUAUGUGCUAUGUGUCGACCAUGUUACUAUUUGUUCCAUGAUGGGUCCAAUGGAGGGAGUUGAUAGUCAUCGGGCUUAAGGGCCACCGCAAAAUCCGGUAACGUUGGCGCCUUCUCGAAGAUCCUGCUUUCCUGACUGUAGAG
rnacentral:misc_RNA from 1 species